UACGGAGGGUGCAAACGUUGCUCGGAAUCAUUGGGCGUAAAGCGCGCGUAGGCGGCUGAGCAAGUUGGAUGUGAAAGCCCUGGGCUCAACCUAGGAUGUGCAUUCAAAGCUGCUCGGCUUGAGUCUCGGAGGGGGUCAGAGAAUUCCCGGUGUAGAGGUGAAAUUCGUAGAUAUCGGGAGGAACACCCAAGGGGAAGCCAGCGGACUGGCACGGUGCUGACACUGAGGUGCGACAGCGUGGGGAGCAAACGGG
rnacentral:rRNA from 1 species